rnacentral:rRNA from 1 species
UACGGAGGGUGCAAGCGUUAUCCGGAUUCACUGGGUUUAAAGGGUGCGUAGGUGGCCGGUAAGUCAGGGGUGAAAUCUCCGGGCUUAACCCGGAAACUGCCGUUGAUACUAUCUGUCUUGAAUAUAGUGGAGGUGAGCGGAAUAUGUCAUGUAGCGGUGAAAUGCUUAGAUAUGACAUAGAACAUCGAUUGCGAAGGCAGCUCGCUACGCUAUUAUUGACACUGAGGCACGAAAGCGUGGGGAUCAAACAGG